GCGUUGUUCGGAUUUACUGGGCGUAAAGGGCGCGUAGGCGGCCUCCGCAAGUCAAUUGUGAAAUCUCCGGGCUUAACUCGGAAAGGUCAACUGAUACUGCGGGGCUAGAGUGCGGAAGGGGCAAUCGGAAUUCUCGGUGUAGCGGUGAAAUGCGUAGAUAUCGAGAGGAACACCUGCGGCGAAGGCGGGUUGCUGGGCCGACACUGACGCUGAGGCGCGAAAGCUA
rnacentral:rRNA from 1 species